GACGAACGCUGGCGGCGUGCUUAACACAUGCAAGUCGAACGGAAAGGCCCUGCUUUUGUGGGGUGCUCGAGUGGCGAACGGGUGAGUAACACGUGAGUAACCUGCCCUUGACUUUGGGAUAACUUCAGGAAACUGGGGCUAAUACCGGAUAGGAGCUCCUGCUGCAUGGUGGGGGUUGGAAAGUUUCGGCGGUUGGGGAUGGACUCGCGGCUUAUCAGCUUGUUGGUGGGGUAGUGGCUUACCAAGGCUUUGACGGGUAGCCGGCCUGAGAGGGUGACCGGCCACAUUGGGACUGAGAUACGGCCCAGACUCCUACGGGGGGCAGCAGUGGGGAAUAUUGCACAAUGGGCGGAAGCCUGAUGCAGCAACGCCGCGUGCGGGAUGACGGCCUUCGGGUUGUAAACCGCUUUCGCCUGUGACGAAGCGUGAGUGACGGUAAUGGUAAAGAAGCACCGGCUAACUACGUG
rnacentral:rRNA from 1 species